GAUGAAGAACGUAGCGAAAUGCGAUAAGUAAUGUGAAUUGCAGAAUUCAGUGAAUCAUCGAAUCUUUGAACGCACAUUGCGCCCACCAGUAUUCUGGCGGGCAUGCCUGUCCGAGCGUCAUUUCAACCAUCAAGCCCCCGGGCUUGUGUUGGGGACCUGCGGCUGCCCGCAGGCCCUGAAAACCAGUGGCGGGCUCGCUGUCACACCGAGCGUAGUAGCAAUCACCUCGCUCAGGGCGUGCUGCGGGUUCCGGCCGUUAAACAGCCUUACAAACCCCAAGGUUGACCUCGGAUCAGGUAGGAAGACCCGCUGAACUUAAGCAUAUCAAUAAGCGGAGGA
rnacentral:misc_RNA from 1 species